AGAACAUGGGUGAUAAGGUCCGUGUUCGAAAGGGAAACAGCCCAGACCACCAGCUAAGGUCCCAAAAUAUAUGUUAAGUGGAAAAGGAUGUGGCGUUGCCCAGACAACUAGGAUGUUGGCUUAGAAGCAGCCAUCAUUUAAAGAGUGCGUAAUAGCUCACUAGUCGAGUGACACUGCGCCGAAAAUGUACCGGGGCUAAACAUAUUACCGAAGCUGUGGAUUGUCCUUUGGACAAUGGUAGGAGAGCGUUCUAAGGGCGUUGAAGCAUGAUCGCAAGGACAUGUGGAGCGCUUAGAAGUGAGAAUGCCGGUGUGAGUAGCGAAAGACGGGUGAGAAUCCCGUCCACCGAUUGACUAAGGUUUCCAGAGGAAGGCUCGUCCGCUCUGGGUUAGUCGGGUCCUAAGCUGAGGCCGACAGGCGUAGGCGAUGGAUAACAGGUUGAUAUUCCUGUACCACCUAUAAUCGUUUUAAUCGAUGGGGGGACGCAGUAGGAUAGGCGAAGCGUGCGAUUGGAUUGCACGUCUAAGCAGUAAGGCUGAGUAUUAGGCAAAUCCGGUACUCGUUAAGGCUGAGCUGUGAUGGGGAGAAGACAUUGUGUCUUCGAGUCGUUGAUUUCACACUGCCGAGAAAAGCCUCUAGAUAGAAAAUAGGUGCCCGUACCGCAAACCGACACAGGUAGUCAAGAUGAGAAUUCUAAGGUGAGCGAGCGAACUCUCGUUAAGGAACUCGGCAAAAUGACCCCGUAACUUCGGGAGAAGGGGUGCUCUUUAGGGUUAACGCCCAGAAGAGCCGCAGUGAAUAGGCCCAAGCGACUGUUUAUCAAAAACACAGGUCUCUGCUAAACCGUAAGGUGAUGUAUAGGGGCUGACGCCUGCCCGGUGCUGGAAGGUU
rnacentral:rRNA from 1 species